AUGUCCAUGAAUGCUGGUGUCACUGAAAUUUCAGUUUAUCAAGUUUCACAGUCAGAAAAGAAAUCCUGGGAGAAGACCUAUUAUUUCUUCAAAGCAGCCAUGGGAACCAGGCUCCUCUGUUAUGUGGCCUUUUGUUUCCUGGCUGUAGGCCUCGUGGAUGUGAAAGUAACCCAGAGCUCAAGGUAUCUAAUCAAAAGGACGGGAGAGAAAGUUUUUCUGGAAUGUGUCCAGGAUAUGGACCAUGAAAGAAUGUUCUGGUAUCGACAAGACCCAGGUCUGGGGCUACGGCUGAUCUAUUUCUCAUAUGAUGUUAAACUGAACGAAAAAGGAGACAUUCCUGAGGGGUACAAUGUCUCUAGAGAGAAGAAGGAGCACUUCUCCCUGAUUCUGGGGUCCGCCAGCACCAACCAGACAUCUAUGUACCUCUGUGCCAGCAGUUUAUCCACAGCACAGCACAGCCACAUACUCUCUGCACAAAAAGAGCAGAUAUAAGAGAGAAGAGGCCCUAACUCAGGGCAGGUGCUGACGCCAAUGGCACAUUUGUGCUAAAUAGAAAAAAGUGGCCGCUAAGGAGAAAUUAGCUCCAUAAGCAUAGUUCUUUGCAAGGAGAGAAUGAGGUAUUAUUUUUCACCCCUAUACAAGACAGGGACUGUUCUGGAUUUAAUCCCCCCAGUCUAACGUGUUGUAAAUUCACAAGUCCCAACAAGGAGGAGAAGUCUUCUCGCAUAUUCACACCGUAGCCCUGUUCUACCAUUUCAUUAAUUUUACCUGCCCUUUUCUAGCCUUGUCUCUCGUACUGUGACUUUCUGCUUUGCUUAGUAUUUUGUUCUUGGUUGAUAUUUCACUACCACUAAGUGAUAUUUCACUUAGUAAUUUCCACUUAGUAAUUUGUUCUUGGUUGAAUUUAACAUAUUCUAAAUUCUUUAGAUGAUUUUUACUGUCCAUGUGCUGAUUCAAGAGAAAGUUUGUGGAAUUUCAAUUCUGUUCAUUCAAGUUUGAAAGAGAAAAACUCUGAUUAAAACAAAUCUUAUUCCAGGUUCUCUGAUCAAUCUCAUUUUGCUGGAAAAAAAUUCUGAUCACAGAAGGUUUAAACUAUGCUGCAGAAGGUGGUAGGAAUUUGGCUAUAACUGCACUCAUACUCUUCUGGAAAAAGUGUGUAUUUGUUUUGAAGAAUAAAACACAAGCUCUUCUGUCAGUAAAAAUUAACAGUGCUUUGGAAAUACAAAUAAAUGUAAAGGGUAUUAGAAAUCCCAAACUGCAGAGCACUUGCACAAUUAUUAUUGGCAAGACAAAACAGGCAUCUGAAAACAUAUUUUGAUUCAGUGCUAAACUUUUGUGUGGAAGAAGUCAGAGAAAAAAAUAUAAUCAAUGUGUAUUACAGUAUUCAAGAUUAAGUUUGUAUGAGAUAGGACUUGAGCUGAUUUUGAAUACAAGUAAAUGAGGGAAGAGAAACUAUCAAAAGAAAGAAAUACCCUGCAAAUGUUUCUGUGAGAGAUUCUACCGGAAUGAAGAGGAAGAUUCUUUCCCUGAGGAAAGGCAGGAAUCACAUUUCUCCUGGCUGAGGUCAACAUCCAGAACAGAGAAAGCACAUCUUCCCAGAAUAUCAUUAAAAUCCUUUCCCUUUUGCCCCGAGAAUACACUGUAGCGGUGCUUGCUACUACAGCAUUUCCCCCGAGAUAACACACAAGGUUUGAUACAAGAAAUUCUUUUGCCACCUUCUAAACAUUACAGUGCUUAACUCCUACAUCCUGUUUGAGAAGGAGCAUUCUGAGCACACGAUUAGCUAUAGAAACUUCAGACUGACGUUGAUUAAAAGGGUGCUGAAAAACCAUCACAAGCCAGGGCAGCAACGUCUCUGAAGUCGUCCAUGGUCUGAUGAUGUCACACCUCCUCCUCUUCACCUGACUGGAAGACAUUUUCCCAAGAGCAUUACCACCAACAUCAAAGAAAAAAAACCCAACUGGUCACUGCAACUUUUGCUGCUCACACAACGACGAGGAUGGCAAGAUGGCAAGAUCUGUAGAGAAUGGCAAUAUUUUUCUGUGGAAUGUGAUGUUCCACUUUCUGUUGUUCUGUGCUUUGAAAUUUUCCCAUGCAAAAAAAAUUAUCGAAUACUGAUUAUUAUAUACAUUUCUGUGACGUUAGACUUAGAGGCAAGUUCUGUUUAGAAAUAAUUCCAAGAACAGUUUUUAUAUUUUAUUUUCAUGUUGAUAAUCAGUUAGAUUUGCUUCAGCCUCAAAGAGCGUGUUUAUGUCAAAUUAAAUGAAUGCUGGCAGGGAGCUGCACUUUUUUUUACUAAACAGGAAAAGAGUUAAAUAACAGAACACUGUAUCUACAAACUUUCAUAUUUAGUGAACCUUCAGGGUUUCUGAGAGUCCUACAUUUUCCCACAGAUUAUUUAUUUCUUAUAGCAAGUAUUGUCCAGACUCAGAAGAUCAACUGCAAGAGAUGGGAACAGGUACCAGCACUGUGCAUCCAUUCCCAGGGCUAUGUGGGACCAUUUCCAUCACAGGGGUCAUCACCUCAACUGAGUCCCUGGUAGAAAGAGUGCUAUGCUAGACUCAGCUUCCCUUCUCGCAUGCUUACCACCUGCUCCCUCCAACACAGCCUCACCUUGCUAAGAAAAUGCAGCCCAGGGAGAGAGGAAGAACACAUAAAAAAUGAAAAUGGAAAUAGGCAGAGAUGGCAUGUCAAACAUCAAAGUGAGUAAGAGAAGACAUCUAAAGAGGGCAAAAGCAUUGUAGAUUGGAAUAGGUGGUUUGAAUUUAGAAAAA